rnacentral:tRNA from 1 species
GCCUGGGUGGCUCAGCUGGUUAAGCGUCUGGCUUUGGCUCAGGUCAUGAUCUCGUGGUUCGUGAGUUUGAGCCUCGCUUCAGGCU